GAUUUAGACAAGGGUGCAAUUCGAGGAAUUAAAUUGUUAACAUGUUUUGGGUACACAGGCAAACAUCGGGCUUACCUUGACUACAGUCGGUAUAAAAAAGAGGCUGCACCGCAAUUGAGAACAUAUAAAUGGAAAAGCAACUGCGAAAUAGAUAUUGUGAUCAGAAGGAGCUCCGCAACAGAAAUUUCUGAAAAUGAAUUUGAAGCCCCUCUUUCUUCUGACGGUGGUCUUCUUCGUGGGAAUUUUGGUCAUGCAGAACGUGGACCAGGUGGAGGGACAAGACCCCAACGCAUGCGAGUGGACUAGAUGUGGGAACCCGUGGCCAAAGUGCGAUGAGCACCGGCACGAAGUGAACAUUGAGAGGUGCGGAUUUCCCAAUAGGAAGAGGCGGUAUUGCUGCUUGAACUGAGAAAUUAGUAUAUUGGUGAAGAUAAAGUGGUGUGUUUAGUUAGGAAGGAUGUAAUUUGAGAAGAAUAAAUUUGUUGAUGGAAACACGA